rnacentral:rRNA from 1 species
AAGCGUUGUCCGGAAUUAUUGGGCGUAAAGAGCUCGUAGGCGGUCUGUCGCGUCGGCUGUGAAAACUCGGGGCUCAACUCCGAGCUUGCAGUCGAUACGGGCAGGCUAGAGUGCGGCAGGGGAGACUGGAAUUCCUGGUGUAGCGGUGAAAUGCGCAGAUAUCAGGAGGAACACCAGUGGCGAAGGCGACUACCUGGCCUGUUCUUGACGCUGAGGCGCGAAAGCUAGGGGAGCAAACGGG